AUAGAUGAGCCUAAGUCGGAUUAGCUCGUUGGUGGGGUAAAGGCCUACCAAGGCGACGAUCUGUAGCGGGUCUGAGAGGAUGAUCCGCCACACUGGGACUGAGACACGGCCCAGACUCCUACGGGAGGCAGCAGUGGGGAAUAUUGGACAAUGGGCGCAAGCCUGAUCCAGCCAUGCCGCGUGUGUGAAGAAGGCCUUAUGGUUGUAAAGCACUUUAAGCGAGGAGGAGGCUACUUUAGUUAAUACCUAGAGAUAGUGGACGUUACUCGCAGAAUAAGCACCGGCUAACUCUGUGCCAGCAGCCGCGGUAAUACAGAGGGUGCAAGCGUUAAUCGGAUUUACUGGGCGUAAAGCGCGCGUAGGCGGCUAAUUAAGUCAAAUGUGAAAUCCCCGAGCUUAACUUGGGAAUUGCAUUCGAUACUGGUUAGCUAGAGUGUGGGAGAGGAUGGUAGAAUUCCAGGUGUAGCGGUGAAAUGCGUAGAGAUCUGGAGGAAUACCGAUGGCGAAGGCAGCCAUCUGGCCUAACACUGACGCUGAGGUGCGAAAGCAUGGGGAGCAAACAGGAUUAGAUACCCUGGUAGUCCAUGCCGUAAACGAUGUCUACUAGCCGUUGGGGCCUUUGAGGCUUUAGUGGCGCAGCUAACGCGAUAAGUAGACCCGUCCUGGGGAGUACGGUCGCAAGACUAAAACUCAAAUGAAUUGACGGGGGCCCGCACAAGCGGUGGAGCAUGUGGUUUAAUUCGAUGCAACGCGAAGAACCUUACCUGGCCUUGACAUAGUAAGAACUUUCCAGAGAUGGAUUGGUGCCUUCGGGAACUUACAUACAGGUGCUGCAUGGCUGUCGUCAGCUCGUGUCGUGAGAUGUUGGGUUAAGUCCCGCAACGAGCGCAACCCUUUUCCUUAUUUGCCAGCGAGUAAUGUCGGGAACUUUAAGGAUACUGCCAGUGACAAACUGGAGGAAGGCGGGGACGACGUCAAGUCAUCAUGGCCCUUACGGCCAGGGCUACACACGUGCUACAAUGGUCGGUACAAAGGGUUGCUACCUAGCGAUAGGAUGCUAAUCUCAAAAAGCCGAUCGUAGUCCGGAUUGGAGUCUGCAACUCGACUCCAUGAACUCGGAAUCGCUAGUAAUCGCGGAUCACAAUGCCGCGCUGAAUACGUUCCCGGGCCUUGUACACACCGCCCGUCACACCAUGGGAGUUUG
rnacentral:rRNA from 1 species